CUGCCCACUUCACCAGCACAGAUAGGAAAAUUGGAAUGAUACAGAGAAGAUUAGCAUGGUCCUUGUGCAAAGAUAACAUGGAAAUUUGUGAAGUGUUUCAUAUUUUU
rnacentral:snRNA from 1 species